CUGUCUUCCAUCAAUUCCUUUUUUUGUACAGCAGUUUAAACAGAGAAGAGUUGAAUAACUGCAUGCGGUGAGACAAGCUAUGACAGCUUCCUCCAUUUGGACUCUGCGGCUCUUCGUUCCCUCAAAUCCUCAACAGAAGACGACUGACAUCUGCUCCAUCCACUACAGCUGCAGUCUCCACCAACAAGAGCCGAGUGUUUUCCUCGCAGGUGCGUUCAUUACAUGUAAUCCUUUGGGGCUGAAGACAUCCAGACGUGAACAGUGCGUUCAGAAGCAGACAGACAUGUUAGCUGUAUUUUGAGGCCUAAUGACAACCUUAAGUCCACCUGGCCUGAUUGUUCCAGCACCACACUGGCUGGUGUCACAUGCUUUGGAAUGGAAUAAAAGAAGAAUUUUAAAGGAAGCAUUCAACAAAGCUGCAUUUCCUUGGCAGACACAAACCGCCAUCUUUGUGAACAAAGAACAGAACAAAUUACUGUCUUCAUGCUUUUAGCUGAGCCAACAAGAUGCUGUUGAGAUCAGCAGGAUCACACAUCCAGCUGUUGUUCAUCAGAAUAAUCUUUUUGGUGGCUUUUCUGUGUCAUGACUCUUUUUUUGCUCUCUGAUUGUUAUCAACUA